UACAUGUGGGGCAAGCGUUGUUCGGAAUUACUGGGCAUAAAGGGUGCGUAGGUGGCUUGUUAAGUCAGGGGUGAAAGUUUUCGGCCCAACCGGAAAAUGGCCUUUGAUACUGGCGAGCUCGAGUGCGUGAGGGGUAACCGGAACGAGCAGUGUAGCGGUGAAAUGCAUAGAUAUUGCUCGGAAGGCCAACGGCGAAGGCAGGUUACUGGUACGCAACUGACACUGAGGCACGAAAGCGUGGGGAGCAAACAGG
rnacentral:rRNA from 1 species